CGUUCCACGCGUAUCUGAAACGGCUGGGUGCUUUGUCGGAGCUCUCCGGCAGCGGACGGAAUGGUUGGUGGAGAAGAUAUUUCUUCUUCUACUCGUGCAGAUGCCGGGGGCGGCGGUUACUCAGGGAGGGAGAGUGUCGGAGCAUUCUCAGGCGAAAUCCUCAUGGCUUAAAUCCUCGUCGAGCCAUGUCGUAGGCGAAACACGACGUCCCAAAUCGACGAAGGACUCCGCAAAGGAACUGGAUCAGUGGAUCGCGAAUGUGAAGAAAGGGCAGCAUCCAGAGGCGAAUACGUUAAGGAGAUUCUUGUUGAGGAGUCAAAUGUACAACCGGUUAAUAGCCCUGUGACUGUUUGUGGUGACAUCCAUGGCCAGUUUCAUGAUCUAAUGAAACUUUUUCAAACUGGAGGUCAUGUUCCUGAGACAAAUUACAUAUUCAUGGGUGACUUUGUCGAUCGUGGUUAUAACAAUCUGGAAGUUUUCACAAUUCUUUUGCUUCUGAAAGCCAGGUAAAAUUUAUAUUUGUGU